rnacentral:rRNA from 1 species
AUUGAACGCUGGCGGCAGGCUUAACACAUGCAAGUCGAGCGGUAACAGAGAGAAGCUUGCUUCUCUGCUGACGAGCGGCGGACGGGUGAGUAAUGCCUAGGAAUCUGCCUAGUAGUGGGGGAUAACUUGCCGAAAGGUAAGCUAAUACCGCAUACGUCCUACGGGAGAAAGGAGGGGACCUUCGGGCCUUUCGCUAUUAGAUGAGCCUAGGUCGGAUUAGUUAGUUGGUGAGGUAAUGGCUCACCAAGACCGCGAUCCGUAACUGGUCUGAGAGGAUGAUCAGUCACACUGGAACUGAGACACGGUCCAGACUCCUACGGGAGGCAGCAGUGGGGAAUAUUGGACAAUGGGGGGAACCCUGAUCCAGCCAUGCCGCGUGUGUGAAGAAGGUCUUAGGAUUGUAAAGCACUUUAAGUUGGGAGGAAGAGUAGUUAACUAAUAUUUGACUGUUUUGACGUUACCGACAGAAUAGCACCGGCUAACUUCGUGCCAGCCGCCGCGGUAA